UACGUAGGGAGCAAGCAUUGUCCGGAAUCAUUGGGCGUAAAGCGCGCGUAGGUGGCUUCGUAAGUCCGUUGUGAAAGUCAAAGGCUCAACCUUUGAAAGCCGAUGGAUACUGUGGAGCUAGAGUACGGAAGAGGCGAGUGGAAUUCCUGGUGUAGCGGUGGAAUGCGCAGAUAUCAGGAGGAACACCAAUAGCGAAGGCAGCUCGCUGGGACGUUACUGACACUGAGGCGCGAAAGCGUGGGGAGCGAACAGG
rnacentral:rRNA from 1 species